rnacentral:rRNA from 1 species
AGAAUCAACGCUGGCGGCGUGCCUAACACAUGCAAGUCGAACGAGAAAGGGGUAGCAAUACCCUGAGUAAAGUGGCGCACGGGUGAGUAACACGUGACUAACCUACCCUUGAGUGGGGGAUAACUGAGGGAAACCUUAGCUAAUACCGCAUAAUACCCACGGGUCAAAGGAGCAAUUCGCUCGAGGAGGGGGUCGCGGCCGAUUAGUUAGUUGGCGGGGUAAUGGCCCACCAAGACGAUGAUCGGUAUCCGGCCUGAGAGGGCGCACGGACACACUGGAACUGAAACACGGUCCAGACUCCUACGGGAGGCAGCAGUGGGGAAUUUGCGCAAUGGGGGAAACCCUGACGCAGCAACGCCGCGUGGAGGAUGAAGUCCUUCGGGACGUAAACUCCUUUCGAUCGGGACGAUUAUGACGGUACCGGAAGAAGAAGCCCCGGCUAACUUCGCGCCAGCAGCCGC